rnacentral:rRNA from 1 species
UACAGAGGGUGCAAGCGUUAAUCGGAAUUACUGGGCGUAAAGCGUGCGCAGACGGUUGCGUAAGUCUGCUGUGAAAGUCGAGGGCUCAACCCUCGAAAGCCGGUGGAUACUGUCGAACUGGAGUACGGAAGAGGCGAGUGGAAUUCCUGGUGUAGCGGUGAAAUGCGCAGAUAUCAGGAGGAACACCAAUUGCGAAGGCAGCUCGCUGGGACGUUACUGACGCUGAGACGCGAAAGCGUGGGGAGCAAACAGG